GAUGAACGCUGGCGGCGUGCCUAAUACAUGCAAGUCGAGCGAACGGACGAGAAGCUUGCUUCUCUGAUGUUAGCGGCGGACGGGUGAGUAACACGUGGAUAACCUACCUAUAAGACUGGGAUAACUUCGGGAAACCGUAGCUAAUACCGGAUAAUAUUUUGAACCGCAUGGUUCAAAAGUGAAAGACGGUCUUGCUGUCACUUAUAGAUGGAUCCGCGCUGCAUUAGCUAGUUGGUAAGGUAACGGCUUACCAAGGCAACGAUGCAUAGCCGACCUGAGAGGGUGAUCGGCCACACUGGAACUGAGACACGGUCCAGGCUCCUACGGGAGGCAGCAGUAGGGAAUCUUCCGCAAUGGGCGAAAGCCUGACGGAGCAACGCCGCGUGAGUGACGAAGGUCUUCGGAUCGUAAAACUCUGUUAUUAGGGAAGAACAUAUGUGUAAGUAACUGUGCACAUCUUGACGGUACCUAAUCAGAAAGCCACGGCUAACUACGUG
rnacentral:rRNA from 1 species